ensembl:rRNA 5S_rRNA 5S ribosomal RNA
GUCCACAGCCUCACCACCCUGAACGCUGCCUGCUCUCAUCCGAUCGCAGAAGCUAAGCAGGGUCGAGCCUGGUUCACACUUGGGUGGAGAACAUUGUGUUUGAGGAACCGAAGCCCAUGUGCUGUUUCUC